UUCUAUGUGGGCUCGCAAACUAAACCCAACAACUGAUUAACACAGAGUCCAUGACCCGGUUAUUUCCCCAAAUCAGCUCUGUCAAAACCCUAGGAGUCCGUUGCCCGUGUCGGGUAGCAAUCCUAAAGAUGUCUUAACACCCGCCAUUUGUAUCCAUCCGGGUCGGGUUACGCUCCUCGGAUCCAUAACUGAAUCUAGGGUGUGGAGCUGAAAAAGGAAAUGGAGACUAUACAUUUUGCAAUUUCAAACAAGAGUAAAGGGAUAUGGUGAUAUUAGUUCACAGUUUCUAAUGACAUCAUUAAGCAAUAAAUAGACUUGUCUUGUAUUAAAGCAAAUGUUGUGGUCUUAGCAAUUGAUUAGGAAAAUCAAUUCUAAUGGUUCAAAUUCUAUAGGUGGUUGUCACAUUUUCGAGUGUUGAAUUGAACAGUCAGAAUUAGUUUUCGAAUCACUUGCAAAGGCCACAAGAUUCACUUUGAUGCAAGAUGAGUUGUUGAGUUGGUUAAGGGCGACAAUGCUUCUUGCGUCUGAUGGCAUGUGAUGAGGUGGCUCUAAGUAGCAUUUUCCGUUUAUUCUCUAUGAGCCAUCAAACAAUCGAGGUGUUAUCUGUCUGGAGUAGUGGUAGUGGUUUGCAAGGUUUGAAUGUUAUUGCUAAUGUAAAGGAUUAUAUUGGUCUGUCAGUUUGGUACAUAAAUGCCUCUUCAAUUGCUGUGUGUGUGUGUGUGUACAUACGUAAUGUGUGUGUGGAGUUCUUAGAGAAUCAUAUGGUUUUGUAAAUCUCUUCUUUUUUGGUAUAUCUCUUGUAUACAACCGCUGUGGCCAUGUUUAUGAAUGAAAAUACACUUGAUUGAAAAAAAAAAAAAAAAAACAAUCCUUUAUCAUGAUCCCUGCAUAAUCUAGUCCGCAAACCAAAUGGCCCUCAAGGUAUGAAUUGUGUAUGCCUAUUUCCUAUACGAAGACCUUGAGGACAUGCAACAAGUGAGCAGUAAGGCUGGCAUGUCUCUUGGUCAGAUGUCUCUCCAACUCUUUUAAACCAAGUAUUAUCAUAUUCAUGUUGGGAAUUACUCUUUUCAUAAGAAUUGAUAUGUAUGCUAAAUGUACUUGUCAAAUUAUUUGAUCAGUGCAGCGGUAGAUCACAUGUCAUAAAAAAGAUAUGCCAUUAAUUGAAAAUACCUUACAUGUUCCUAAAGAUAAUUUCUUGAAAAAGAUUGUGGUUGGAUUUUGUUAUGGUCUUUAUCUAUCUCUAUCACAAACCAAGUGCAAUGACUGACCACUCUUUUAGGAAAUAUUGGCAUAUCUCAGUGUCAACCAGGCUGUACUCUUUGCUUGUUCUGUCCUGUCUGAUCCCAUUGGUUGUGAUUUGUGACCCUUCAGCGGUCGUAUUAUUUGCAUUAGGGUGUAAAAAGGUACUCUAUUCAUCUAUUUUUCUGUGAAUUUGUACUCCUGAUGUUAGGCCAGUUUUACAAUAAGGGUAGCUGGUAGGUUCCAUUCAUACCAUUGUAAUCUCAAUGACCAUCGACUUAGCUUGUGCAGUCACAUUCGUUAGGCACUUGUAUGAGAGAUACAUUAACUCAACCACAGUAAUCUGUCAAUCUUAAACAAGAAUCGAGAUAAUCGCUUUUCUAGAGAUCACACACUUUAUAUCGUGAUUUGGUGUCAAAAAUAGUAAAGGAAAGGUGUAGCUUUAGACGAAGAAAUGGUAGUUUAUUAAUUCAGCAAUGUACAUGCAGUUAUAAAGAGGAAGGUAUGACAGAAUUUGUAUCCGACUUUGUCCCACAUCGUCUCAAAAGCAAGCAUUAGUUCUUUCGUUAAUCUAUUUAGCGGUCUCUAAUUAUGAACUUCAACACAUAGCUACUGGGCCUGCCUAAGUGCGGGCCCUUGAUGGCUCGAAUCUUGUCCGUGGGUUUGCUGGCACCUAUGGAUCCAGGAAGUAGUCCACAUUCUCAACUGUGCAUUUGCACAUGAAGCACCAGGUGACAGCUGACAUAUGUGAUCCUUCGCGUUCUCAUGUUCUCGGCUGUCAGCAUUGGACCCGAGCUGCGAAACCAAGCAAAUAAACACACCUUUCUUGGUGCUCAAGGCCUAGAUGUGUAACUUUCUUCAUUGUGCCUGGCAUCAUCCACUGUAUUGUGAACCAAUUCAGCAAUCUCACCACAGCCAUGUUGCCACUUUGCAAUGUAACAGGAAGUAGUCCACAUUCUCAACCGUGCAUAGCACAUGAAGCACCAGGUGACAGCUGACAUAUGUGAUCCUUUGCAUUCUCAUGUUCUCCGCUGUCAGCAUUGAACCCGCUUGCCAAACCAAGCAAAUAAAACACACCUUUCUUGGUGCUCAAGGUGUCUAAACCAAUAAAUGUGGGGCCACAUUCAAAUUCAAAUAGAAUUGUCUUCUGUAUCGUGCAUUCAAAGGCUGGAACUUGGAAAGCUAAAUGAAAACUGUAUGAGCAAGUUCUUUUUAAUUUAUAGCCAUACAAGUGUUUGGGAUCUCAUAACAUUUUUGGGAGGAGCAUAUGACAUUCAUAACAUUAUUUUAUUA